AACGUUGAUGAUUGGCAUUCCGUUUCUCAAAUCAGAAUGUCGCAUAUCACAAGUGGGCGGUACCUUCGGCAAAUUGUAUGCCCAUAUUAGGAGUGGUAGUAACUGCCAGGCACGUUCACCGUGGAGGACGAGGGGGAAGAAGGGGAGUGACCGUCAUCUCUCAACCAUGGAUGUAUUGAAGAGUCUUCAGGUUGGCCUUGAAGUCCACAGACUCUUUGACCUUAGAGCCCAGCAGAGCUCCCAGCAUGGCGUCAGCAGACACCCUCACCCUCUUCAGAGCCGGUCUCUUCAUCUUGCCCUUCAACUCAAAGAUCUUCUGAGACAGUCUUCAGGUUGGCCUUGAAGUCCACAGACUCUUUGACUCUAGCGCCCAGCAGAGCUCCCAGCAUGGCGUCAGCAGAGAUCUUCACCCUCUUGAGAGCAGGUCGCUUCAUUUUACCCUUCAGCUCAAAGAUCUUCUGAGACAGAUUUUCAAUCUGCAGGAAACAAUGAAAAAUGUAAGUACAAAGUACACAACAUAGCCAC